rnacentral:misc_RNA from 1 species
GCCGAAUUAUGUCAGGUGCAUUGACUUAGACCUUAAUGAAACAAAGUUAUAGAUAAGGCAGCAUCUCUUGCAUUAUAUGAGGUAUCUUGUGGUAAUUGACAUUCUUUUCCUUAAAAAAUUGGUUUUUUGGGAAUGUUCUUGCAUAUUGCAGUGUUGUACUGAUGUAAAAAUUUUUCAUUUUCAUUUUAAUUAUUUCACAAGAACAGAAAGCAUAUGAUACAAUCAAUUUCAUUUUUCUUUCCCUAGUGUAUUGCUCAUAUUGAAACCAUU